rnacentral:tRNA from 1 species
GACGCUUUGGCCGAGUGGUUAAGGCGUUGGACUGCUAAUCCAAUGGGGUUUCCCCGCGUGAGUUCGAAUCUCACAGGCGUCG